rnacentral:rRNA from 1 species
ACGGAAGGCAGCAGUGGGGAAUAUUGGGCAAUGGGCGAAAGCCUGACCCAGCAACGCCGCGUGAAGGAUGAAGGUCUUCGGAUUGUAAACUUCUUUGAUUGGGGAAGAAUAAAUGACCUACCCAAAGAACAAGCCACGGCUAACUACGUGCCAGCAGCCGCGGUAAUACGUAGGUUGCAAGCGUUGUCCGGAUUUACUGGGUGUAAAGGGCGUGUAGGCGGAGCUGCAAGUCAGAUGUGAAAUCCCGGGGCUCAACCCCGGAACUGCAUUUGAAACUGUAGCCCUUGAGUAUCGGAGAGGCAAGCGGAAUUCCUAGUGUAGCGGUGAAAUGCGUAGAUAUUAGGAGGAACACCAGUGGCGAAGGCGGCUUGCUGGACGACAACUGACGCUGAGGCGCGAAAGCGUGGGGAGCAAACAGGAUUAGAUACCCUGGUA